AGUAACUCGAGUUCAAGGCCAACCGGGGUACUGCAAGCAACAAUUAAUCAGGGCUGUCAAACUCCUUCCAUGGAGGGCCUAGUGUCUGCUGGUUUUAGUUUUUAACUUUCAAUUAAGACCUAGACAACCAGUUGUGGAAAGAGCCUUUCUAAUCAAUGACCUUAAUUCAUCAAUCAAGUGCAAGGGAGGAGUGAAGACACUCGGUCCUCCGUGGAAUGAUUGUCGUCAAAACAUGUUUUUAUUUCUUUUUUCCAUUCACUAAAAUGGUGGAACCUGUUUUCUGCUAACAAUGCCUACAGUAGCGCGGUCGGCCUUCAACUCCUGUGUCUUCACACACACUGACUGACCGACCGGUUCUCUAUACCCUGUGCUGUAAAACACAGGUUACAGGACAGGGUGUAAAACACAGGUUACAGGACAGGGUAUAGAGAACACAGGUUACAGGACAGGGUGUAAAACACAGGUUACAGGACAGGGUGUAAAACACAGGUUACAGGACAGGGUAUAGAGAACACAGGUUACAGGACAGGGUAUAGAGAACACAGGUUACAGGACAGGGUAUAGAGAACACAGGUUACAGGACAGGGUAUAGAGAACACAGGUUACAGGACAGGGUAUAGAGAACACAGGUUACAGGACAGGGUAUAGAACACAGGUUACAGGACAGGGUAUAGAACACAGGUUACAGGACAGGGUAUAGAACACAGGUUACAGGACAGGGUAUAGAACACAGGGUAUAGGACAGGGUAUAGAACACAGGUUACAGGACAGGAUAUAGAACACAGGUUACAGGACAGGGUAUAGAACACAGGUUACAGGACAGGGUAUAGAACAGGUUACAGGACAGGGUAUGGAACACAGGUUACAGGACAGGGUAUAGAACACAGGUUACAGGACAGGGUAUAGAACACAGGGUAUCGGACAGGGUAUAGAACACAGGGUAUAGGACAGGGUAUAGAACACAGGUUACAGGACAGGGUAUAGAACACAGGUUACAGGACAGGGUAUAGAGAACACAGGUUACAGGACAGGGUAUAGAGAACACAGGUUACAGGACAGGGUAUAGAACACAGGGUAUAGGACAGGGUAUAGAACACAGGUUACAGGACAGGGUAUAGAACACAGGUUACAGGACAGGGUAUAGAACACAGGGUAUAGGACAGGGUAUAGGACAGGGUAUAGAACACAGGUUACAGGACAGGGUAUAGAACACAGGGUAUAGGACAGGGUAUAGAACACAGGG